rnacentral:rRNA from 1 species
GUCUGGAGACAGGUGCUGCAUGGCUGUCGUCAGCUCGUGUCGUGAGAUGUUGGGUUAAGUCCCGCAACGAGCGCAACCCUUGCCUUUAGUUGCCAGCAGUUCGGCUGGGCACUCUAAAGGGGACUGCCGGCGUUAAACCGGAGGAAGGUGGGGAUGACGUCAAGUCCUCAUGGCCUUUAUGACCAGGGCUACACACGUACUACAAUGGCCGAUACAAAGGGCAGCGACACUGCGAGGUGAAGCCAAUCCCGUAAAAUCGGUCUCAGUCCGGAUUGGAGUCUGCAACUCGACUCCAUGAAGUUGGAAUCGCUAGUAAUCGUGGAUCAGCAUGCCACGGUGAAUACGUUCCCGGGCCUU